CCACAUUUUCUUUUCUUUUUUUUUUUUUCUUUCCAAUGAUUAUUUGGUAAGGUACCUGAAGUGCACUUUGGGGGAAGAGAUGGCUAAGGAACAGGAGUGGCUGUAGUGGUUUAUGAGCGAUAGCUCACAAGGUGUGCCCAGCAGAGAGACACACAGAGAGAGUGAUAAAACUGACUGGUGAAGAUGACUGGAGAGAAGCUGCUGAAGGAUCUAGACAAGAACUACACAGCAUAGGAGGCAUGAAAUAUGAGACCAACGUAGCCCUGAACAGCUCUCUGUACCAUUAGUUCAUACUAGUAGGACUUUCAUUAAACCGUGUUAAAAAUGGGUGUUCUUUUUAGAAGCAAAACCAAACUCUUGUGAGCAGUUUUCCAAACACACAUGUUUCUGUGAUGACAAUGAAAUUACAAUCCACAUUUUUGUUAGCACUUUUCUAACAGAGAGAUCGGUGUGUGUGCUGCAUUUGAUUAGGAAGUAUAAUACCUACCAAUGUAUAAUACCUACCAAUGUGUUUCUUCCAUUUUGAUUAAAUAAAACCUUUCUUUCCUUAAUUAGUUAAUGUUUGUUACUUGAGAAAGAGGAGUGACGGAAAUUCAGAUUAAUACAUGAUAAUUAAUAAAUAACCAUGAAUAAAACUGGAUUUUUAAACUUUA